rnacentral:rRNA from 1 species
GAUGAACGCUGGCGGCGUGCCUAACACAUGCAAGUCGAACGGAGAUACGACACCGCUGAAGGGAAGGAGCUUGCUCCCGACCGGAAGCACCGUUGUAUCUUAGUGGCGGACGGGUGAGUAACGCGUGGAGAACCUGCCUCUUGCAGGGGGAUAGCAGUUGGAAACGACUGGUAAUACCGCAUAAGCGUGCUGAAUCGCAUGAUUCGGUAUGGAAAGAUUUAUCGGCAAGAGAUGGCUCCGCGUCUGAUUAGCCAGUUGGCGGGGUAACGGCCCACCAAAGCAACGAUCAGUAGCCGGCCUGAGAGGGCGGACGGCCACAUUGGGACUGAGACACGGCCCAGACUCC